GACGGAGGAUGCAAGUGUUAUCCGGAAUGAUUGGGCGUAAAGCGUCUGUAGGUGGCUUUUAAGUCCGCCGUCAAUCCAGGGCUCAACCCUGGACAGGCGGUGGAAACUACCAAGCUGGAGUACGGUAGGGCAGAGGGAAUUUCCGGUGGAGCGGUGAAAUGCGUAGAGAUCGGAAAGAACACCAACGGCGAAAGCACUCUGCUGGCCGACACUGACACUGAGAGACGAAAGCUAGGGAGCGAAUGGG
rnacentral:rRNA from 1 species